UACGGAGGGUGCAAGCGUUAUCCGGAUUCACUGGUUAAAGGGUGCGUAGGUGGGCAGGUAAGUCCGUGGUGAAAUCCCUGAGCUUAACUCGGGAACUGCCAUGGAUACUAUUUGUCUUGAAUAUUGUGGAGGUAAGCGGAAUAUGUCAUGUAGCGGUGAAAUGCUUAGAUAUGACAUAGAACACCAAUUGCGAAGGCAGCUUACUACACAGUUAUUGACACUGAGGCACGAAAAGCGUGGGGGAUCAAAACAGG
rnacentral:rRNA from 1 species